CUUGCGUAGGAGCAGUCCUCCAUAGGACUGAAUAUAAUUCUACAGUAUUUCAAUUAAAUAUUUCAAGGACAAAAUUACAUGUAUUUAAGUAUUUGUUUGUUGUUGUGGGGGACACUUUCCAAGUCUUAGAAAUAAACGUUAUGUUUCACUAUAUUGGAUCGCUCCAAUAUAUUGGUAUCCAUCCGAGGUGAGGAUUUACAGAUUUACACCCGUGUACACACACGUUAUCUUUCAUUUUCUCGGCGGACGUCCGUAUGGUUUGAGGUACAAAUUAUCUGAAGUUUGCUUGGUAAGUCAGUGGAACAAGCUUGUAUCAGCUUCUAGUGGUUCCUGCUUUUCUAUAAAUAACAAGUCUAAAGCCUCCCCGAGCCGGCUCGGCUACCCCAAGAACAUCAACCUGGUGGUGGGCCGGCUACCCCAACAACAUCAACCUGGUGGUGGGCCGGCUACCCCAAGAACAUCAACCUGGUGGUGAGCCGGCUACCCCAAGAACAUCAACCUGGUGGUGAGCCGGCUACCCCAAGAACAUCAACCUGGUGGUGGGCCGGCUACCCCAACAACAUCAACCUGGUGGUGAGCCGGCUACCCCAAGAACAUCAACCUGGUGGUGGGCCGGCUACCCCAAGAACAUCAACCUGGUGGUGAGCCGGCUACCCCAAGAACAUCAACCUGGUGGUGGGCCGGCUACCCCAACAACAUCAACCUGGUGGUGAGCCGGCUACCCCAAGAACAUCAACCUGGUGGUGAGCCGGCUACCCCAAGAACAUCAACCUGGUGGUGGGCCGGCUACCCCAAGAACAUCAACCUGUCCACUAGGUGUCAGACUACACCACUUUUGUUACUGGCAUGUCUUUCUUUGUGCUUCAUGCCAGUUCAUCUCUAUUUUACAACUUGGCUAGAUACGUCAACUACGCAGUGCUUGACACCUGCACUUGUCUUUUCUUACUAUCAGUGACUGUGCUAAUAGCUGCUUUAUUGAGGGAAAGUUGUACUUACUAUGACUGUAAUAUAUGGUUGUAUCACCUAUCUAGUACAUUCAUCUUAAGGUAGCUAACUAUAAGUCACUCUGGAUAGAGUUACUCAUAUGUAAUGAUAUGUAGUAUUUGUGCAGUAUAAUAUUGUGUAAUCUCUAAAUGACUGUAUAUCUUAUACAGACAGUGUGUGUGCGCAAAAUAGACAAACACAGAAAGCUUUUUUUUUUAUGUAAUUGAUACACCUGGUCCAAUACUUUAACAAACUUAGAAAAUAUACAGCAGUUGACAGGUUUCAAACAAAGAAGAAAAGCAUGACCACAACCAAGAAUUCACACUGUACAAUGAUGGGUUAUCUGACUGUUAAGGGCCCCUGCAGUACUGUACAAUGAUGGGUUAUCUGACUGUUAAGGGCCCCUGCAGUACUGUACAAUGAUGGGUUAUCUGACUGUUAAGGGCCCCUGUACAAUGAUGGGUUAUCUGACUGUUAAGGGCCCCUGCAGUACUGUACAAUGAUGGGUUAUCUGACUGUUAAGGGCCCCUGUACAAUGAUGGGUUAUCUGACUGUUAAGGGCCCCUGUACAAUGAUGGGUUAUCUGACUGUUAAGGGCCCCUACAAUGAUGGGUUACCUGACUGUUAAGGGCCCCUGCAGUACUGUACAAUGAUGGGUUAUCUGACUGUGAAGGGCCCCUGUACAAUGAUGGGUUAUCUGACUGUUAAGGGCCCCUACAAUGAUGGGUUAUCUGACUGUUAAGGGCCCCUACAAUGAUGGGUUACCUGACUGUUAAGGGCCCCUGCAGUACUGUACAAUGAUGGGUUAUCUGACUGUUAAGGGCCCCUGUACAAUGAUGGGUUACCUGACUGUUAAGGGCCCCUCUACAAUUAUGGGUUAUCUGACUGUUAAGGGCCCCUACAAUGAUGGGUUAUCUUAUCUGACUGUUAAGGGCCCCUGUACAAUGAUGGGUUACCUGACUGUUAAGGGCCCCUCUACAAUGAUGGGUUAUCUUAUCUGACGGUUAAGGGCCCCUGUACAAUGAUGGGUUACCUGACUGUUAAGGGCCCCUACAGUACUGUACAAUGAUGGGUUAUCUUAUCUGACUGUUUAGGGCCCCUGCAGUACUUUUCUUUGACCAUGUCUUAACCAAUUAUAUGUACUGUAUAAAUCUAUGGUCUUAACAGACCCAGGUGCAUGCAUUGUGCUUAUAGCACAUCUCACCAAAUGUAUAUUUUGUCAUUCAACAUGGAACUGAAGGGAUGAAUUGGGAGAAUGACUGCCUUACUGUAAUUCUGAUUUCAUAUCAGUCACAAUGUGUCUUAUUGUGAUUGUGUCCAACUCGUAGUAAACAAAAAAACAUCCAAUAAACAUGACAUGAGUGAUAA